rnacentral:rRNA from 1 species
GGGGUUCUGAGAGGAAGGUCCCCCACAUUGGAACUGAGACACGGUCCAGACUCCUACGGGAGGCAGCAGUGGGGAAUAUUGGUCAAUGGACGCGCGUCUGAACCAGCCAAGUAGCGUGAAGGAUGACUGCCCUAUGGGUUGUAAACUUCUUUUAUAUGGGAAUAAAGUGAGGCACGUGUGGCUUUUUGUAUGUACCAUACGAAUAAGGAUCGGCUAACUCCGUGCCAGCAGCCGCGGUAAUACGGAGGAUCCGAGCGUUAUCCGGAUUUAUUGGGUUUAAAGGGAGCGUAGGCGGACUAUUAAGUCAGCUGUGAAAGUUUGCGGCUCAACCGUAAAAUUGCAGUUGAUACUGGUCGUCUUGAGUGCAGUAGAGGUAGGCGGAAUUCGUGGUGUAGCGGUGAAAUGCUUAGAUAUCACGAAGAACUCCGAUUGCGAAGGCAGCUUACUGGACUGUAACUGACGCUGAUGCUCGAAAGUGUGGGUAUCAAACAGGAUUAGAUACCCUGGUAGUCCACACAGUAAACGAUGAAUACUCGCUGUUUGCGAUAUACAGCAAGCGGCCAAGCGAAAGCAUUAAGUAUUCCACCUGGGGAGUACGCCGGCAACGGUGAAACUCAAAGGAAUUGACGGGGGCCCGCACAAGCGGAGGAACAUGUGGUUUAAUUCGAUGAUACGCGAGGAACCUUACCCGGGCUUAAAUUGCAUCUGAAUAAUUUGGAAACAGAUUAGCCGCAAGGCAGAUGUGAAGGUGCUGCAUGGUUGUCGUCAGCUCGUGCCGUGAGGUGUCGGCUUAAGUGCCAUAACGAGCGCAACCCUUAUCUUUAGUUACUAACAGGUCAUGCUGAGGAC